rnacentral:rRNA from 1 species
UACGGAGGUGGCAAGCGUUGCUCGGAAUCACUGGGCGUAAAGGCGCGUAGGCGGGGAGGUAAGUCGGGUGUGAAAUCCCUCGGCCCAACCGAGGAACUGCGCCCGAGACUGCUUCUCUUGAGUCCCGGAGAGGAAGGUGGAAUUCCCGGUGUAGCGGUGAAAUGCGCAGAUAUCAGGAGGAACACCAAUGGCGAAGGCAGCACUCUGGGACGUGACUGACACUGAGACGCGAAAGCGUGGGGAGCAAACAGG